UCCUGAUCUCCUCCCUUCCUGUAACCUCCAGUCCUCCUCCCUAUCCUCUGCGCCCGCCGACGUGGGCCGCGUCUCGGUGUCCUUGGCCAUGCCGGCGGCGACGGCGGCAGCGAUGCGGUCUGGCGUCGGCGCCGACGGAGUUCUCCUUGCCCGUCAAUCCCGCGACAAUGCCCGCCCGGGCUCAAAUCCCCUCCCCCACGAGCUCCUCCUCGACGCGCCGCCACCCACGCUCAGACCUCGCCGCCGCCAACUACCCUCAGACCGCGCCGCCGCCUAUGGCCUCCGCCCAUGCCCCCGUCCUCUCUCCUGCCCUCCACUCCCCCGAAGAAAAGAGAAGAGAAGAGACGCAUGUAGAUCGAACGACCAGAUCGAGCGGCGGCCAGAUCCAUCCGCCACGGUUGCCCAGGGCUCGCGCGCCUCCGACGACGUGGCCCUGCCCGUGCGUCAAGGGCCUGGACGGAGAUGCUUCUGCUCCGCAAUGGCCAUGGAGCUUCCUCCCAAUCCAAAGUCUUGGACUGGACGGGGACGGCUGCUCUUCCAAGUUCCUCUUCUCCGCUGCUAGCCUACUACAUCGAGGCUUCAAGGCCACCAUGCCGGCUGCUUGCUGCGGCAUCCAGUCUAUUCGCCACGGCUGCUUCCUUCAGCUAGUCCUACUCAUGCUGUAGCCUGCACGUUUUCAAACAGACAGACAAAUAGUUCACACAUUUUUUUUAAACUAAUUUGAUUUUAUGCCUGCUUAACGUAUUGCUUCUUCUUAGAUUGACUCAAAAAAUUUAUGUCUGCUUUACCUACGCAAGGGCACAAUGAUGAAUUUUACGGACGAUGCUCCUGUAAAGAAGAGCUCUGUUCUCUUGACAAGGAUGGAAAGUAUAACAGCAUACAAAAACAAACGUGGACAACCCAGAUUGGAACUCCAGAACAAUCUGACACUCCAGUGUCUGCUAAUGACAUGUGUUCCCUUGUCGAAUGGCCAUGCCAUGCUCGCCGCAACCGUGCGCUACUACAGGAUGAUCAACUACAAGCUGAACGUGCAAACACGCAAGAGAGGAUUUACUUGGAGCGUGCUGAGGGACAACAACUUGAGGAAAGGUUAAAAGAAGAGUGUGCUGAAAGGGAAAGAUUGUUGGAAGAGGAGCGAACAUCAAGACUGGAAUUUGAAAAAAACAUGAUGGCAAAGUUUGCAGAAUUGAGCCAAUAGUUGGGAACCAAACAGGUGCCUACGAAGAGGGUUGACAAAGAAAAUAGUAAUCCAAACUUGCAAAAUAUUCUUUCACAGAGAUCUAGCCCUAAUAAGACUCCAGGUUCAAGGCCAACUGCUAUUUCUCCAAAUGCGCUCAUACAAGCUGCAGCAAGAAAUUCUCGAAUGUUUAAAGCAAUGGAUCCAAAGAACUAGCUGGACCGGACUCUAGAUCACGGACAGUUUAGUCUUCGUAGUUAAUUAGGAUGGCUAAAUUACAUUUGAGUUCAUUUGAUGGAUAUUUGCUAUGAGAAUUAUGAAUUUUAUGAAUCUACAUAUUAUAUGUGUGGUUUUGAAUAUUGUAAUUGAAAGCCUGUAUUUUUUUUACGGUUGCAAUAGGCUAUUACAACAACCCACUUUCGGUUGGCA